GUCAGCUGGGUCUGUGGUUGAAAGUCGAUGCUAGCCGCAGGCGAAACGACCCACGUAAGUCAGACAAAAGUCUGAUGAGCAUGGUGCGGUUUAGAAGUAAGUCCUGCCGAAGUUUAAAACUUCGAGAGGGGGAUUAGUGAGAGGCAUACACCUUAAGCAAAACCUCCAGCAGGCGAGUGUGGGGGCAAAGACCAGGUCAGCCAGUUGAC
rnacentral:ncRNA from 1 species